CUCCCCUAGAAAAGAGUGUGAGAAUGAGGGACCGAGUCCUGCUGGAUUCUACCGCAAGCAUCGGCGUGACUCUAAGUCACUGCCGCACGGGCAGACCGAGAGCUUAUCUGACUACCUGGGCAAGAACAGCCGCAGGGCCAUCGAAGUCCACCCCUCAGGGAGAGACAAGAAUUUGCCUAAGGGCGGGAUUCGCGCUUAAUCUGCAGGCCCCAGUAACCGAACCUAAGAGGGUAGAGAAGAAGAUGUUUCCUAACCUACGCAGACAGUGGUCAGACCAUCCGUGACAAGGGAACUCCGGCUUACAACUUCCGC